AGAGUUUGAUCAUGGCUCAGAUUGAACGCUGGCGGCAGGCCUAACACAUGCAAGUCGAGCGGAAACGAUCCUAGCUUGCUAGGAGGCGUCGAGCGGCGGACGGGUGAGUAACGCGUGAGAAUCUACCCAUGAGUGGGGGACAACCCGGGGAAACUCGGGCUAAUACCGCAUACGCCCUACGGGGUAAAGCAGGGGACCUUCGGGCCUUGCGCUGAUGGAUGAGCUCGCGUCGGAUUAGCUUGUUGGUGAGGUAAAGGCUCACCAAGGCGACGAUCCGUAGCUGGUCUGAGAGGAUGAUCAGCCACACCGGGACUGAGACACGGCCCGGACUCCUACGGGAGGCAGCAGUGGGGAAUCUUGGACAAUGGGGGCAACCCUGAUCCAGCCAUGCCGCGUGUGUGAAGAAGGCCUUCGGGUUGUAAAGCACUUUCAGCAGGGAGGAAGGCUUACCCCUAAUACGGGUGAGUACUUGACGUUACCUGCAGAAGAAGCACCGGCUAAUUUCGUGCCAGCAGCCGCGGUAAUACGAAAGGUGCAAGCGUUAAUCGGAAUUACUGGGCGUAAAGCGCGCGUAGGCGGUGUGUUAAGUCGGAUGUGAAAGCCCAGGGCUCAACCUUGGAAUUGCAUCCGAUACUGGCACGCUAGAGUGCAGUAGAGGGAGGUGGAAUUUCCGGUGUAGCGGUGAAAUGCGUAGAGAUCGGAAGGAACACCAGUGGCGAAGGCGGCCUCCUGGACUGACACUGACGCUGAGGUGCGAAAGCG
rnacentral:rRNA from 1 species